rnacentral:rRNA from 1 species
AUAUGCCUACAACAUAGCGUUAAUGCACCGGAUCCCAUUAGAACUCCGCAGUUAAGCGCGCUAAGGCUAGAGUAGUAUUGGGAUGGGUGACCACUCGGGAAGUCCUAAUAUUUUACAUGCC